rnacentral:lncRNA from 1 species
CUCUAUAUUGGUUAUUUUGGAAAUGCCUAUUACACAUGUUUCUUGUCCCAUUUAACUUGAGUAGAUAUAACAGUUUAAUGCUCUCACAAAAGAUAGAGUUGACACUAUAGCGGAUGUUCAUUCCUACUAGCUACCAUAUGCUAAAGUUUACAAUAUGUGCAUAGUCAUCCUAUUUUUCAUCGUGCACAAUAGUCAAUCAAUAUACGAUGAUGUAUACUAACUGUUGAUACGAGGUUUAUGUAAACAAGUGGAUUAAUGUUGACCUUCAUAUUUAUUUAAAUCGUGCCCAUAUUUUUUUUUAAAACACAUUGAGUACACUAAAAAAAUCAUGUAGUCAUUACAUUUUUAUGUAACACUUUUUAUCAUGUUGUUUGUUGUCAAAGGAUUUACAAAUAUCUUCCCAUAUGUAUAAGGGGGUGUUUUUUUCCGUUGCAACGCACGGGCAUGUUUGUUAUAAUAAUAAAGAAGCUACUGUCGUUCUAACGGUUUUACAAAAACGUCCCUUGUUAUUUCAAAAUCAACCCGUGGUUCUCCAUUAAGUAAAAAAAAGUUUCGUCUUUUCAAAAAAGCCUGUGUCCUCCACCGGUCCUGGGCUCA